rnacentral:rRNA from 1 species
GGUAGCGUAAUCACUUGUUCUUUAAAUGAGGACUAGUAUGAAUGGCACCACGAAGGUUUUACUGUCUCCUUUCCCUAAUCAGUGAAACUAAUCUUCCCGUGAAGAAGCGGGAAUAAACGAAUAAGACGAGAAGACCCUAUGGAGCUUUAAACACAAUAACAAGUACUACUUUAAACAAAAAUUUCUUAAUGACUCACUACCUGGUAUCAUGAUUAUUAGUUUUAGGUUGGGGUGACCGCGGAGAAAAACAUAACCUCCACAUUGUAUGAUAAAAUUCUAAGCAAAGAAUUACACUUCCACGCAUCAAUAUAUUGACAUCAAUUGACCCAAUUAUUUUGAUCAACGAACCAAGUUACCCUAGGGAUAACAGCGCAAUCUACUUCAAGAGCCCAUAUCGACAAGUGGGUUUACGACCUCGAUGUUGGAUCAGGGUCUCCCAGUGGUGCAGCCGCUACUAAAGGUUCGUUUGUUCAACGAUU